UGGGGAAUAUUGGGCAAUGGGGGAAACCCUGACCCAGCAACGCCGCGUGAAGGAAGAAGGCUUUCGGGUUGUAAACUUCUUUGACGAGGGACGAAAGAAAUGACGGUACCUCGAAAACAAGCCACGGCUAACUCCGUGCCAGCAGCCGCGGUAAUACGGGGGUGGCGAGCGUUACUCGGAUUUACUGGGUGUAAAGGGCAGGUAGGCGGCCCGUCAAGUUGAAGGUGAAAUCCCUAGACUCAAUCUAGGAACUGCCUUCAAAACUAGCGGGCUUGAAGACGGUAGAGGAGAGUGGAAUUCCCGGUGUAAGGGUGAAAUCUGUAGAUAUCGGGAGGAACACCUGUGGCGAAAGCGACUCUCUGGCCCGUCCUUGACGCUAAGCUGCGAAAGCUAAGGUAGCAAACG
rnacentral:rRNA from 1 species